GACAAACGCUGGCGGCGUGCAUAAAACAUGCAAGUCGAACGGGCCAAUCUCCGCAAGGAGAAAGGCUAGUGGCGAACGGCUGAGUAACACGUAGGUGACCUGCCCCGAAGUGGGGGAUAACAACUCGAAAGAGUUGCUAAUACCGCAUGUGACCACCGAUUCAUUUCGGUGCUCAAAGUCGCAAGACGCUUUGGGAGGGGCCUGCGGCGGAUUAGCUAGUUGGUGGGGUAACGGCCUACCAAGGCGUCGAUCCGUAGCUGGUCUGAGAGGAUGACCAGCCAGACUGGGACUGAGACACGGCCCAGACUCCUACGGGAGGCAGCAGUUAGGAAUUUUGCGCAAUGGGGGAAACCCUGACGCAGCCACGCCGCGUGCGGGAUGAAGGCCUUC
rnacentral:rRNA from 1 species